UACAGGGGGGGCAAGCGUUAUUCGGAAUUAUUGGGCGUAAAGGGCGCGUAGGCGGCUUGACAAGUGGAAGGUGAAAGCCCUCGGCUUAACCGAGGAACUGCGCUUCUAACUGGCAGGCUUGAGUGUGGCAGAGGGGGGUGGAAUUCCACGUGUAGCAGUGAAAUGCGUAGAGAUGUGGAGGAACACCGAUGGCGAAGGCAGCCCCCUGGGCUAACACUGACGCUCAUGCACGAAAGCGUGGGGAGCAAACAGG
rnacentral:rRNA from 1 species